GAGUCCCAGUGGUUGGCGUUUUGCCAGUAUUUUUCAGUUUUUGCGUUGUUGUCAGUCUGUUUGUAUAGUUUGUUUGAGUGUGCGUGUGAGGUGUGGUGGGGGGUGUGUGGGCGUCUGUUACCGGCGUUUUGUUGGGAGCAUGGCGUCCCUGAACUCUCUCGCCGGCAUGGUGUGAGUGUGGAUGAGUGCUGUUUGGCGGCAGGCGGUGCCGUCGGGUAUAAUAAUGUGGUCUCUGCUUCGCGCAUGUACAGUGCGGUGGUGAUGUUCCUGUCCUCGCUGGACAAAGCCAAUCAGCUGGUGCAGAGUGGACUUGUUAUUAAUGAUCAGUUCGUCCCGUCCUGCCCCUCAGUACUCCCGCCAAAAAGGUCAUUCUGUCCAAUGUCCCCCCGUUCAUCUCGGACGAGCUGAUCGCUCAGGAGCUGUUCCGGUUUGGGAAACUUGUCUCCCCCAUUAAGAACAUCUCCUCCGAGUCUGCCCUGAAAAGCUCAACGACAACGAUGGUGAUGCCGGGAACGUGGCGCGGCCGGGGCCUGCCGCAGCUGAUCCCGUAGUGGCUGCCCCCCCUGCGGCUGCUGUUGCGGAGGAGCCAGCUGUGAACCACCCUGGUGGCAAGAGCAGGAUCAGGGGUCUCCUGACCCAGGGGAGCAAGAUAACCAGACGGACCACCUAACGCUAUAUCAUCUACUGCAGUGGUCAGUGUACAGACCAGUCCAACCACUUCAACCACACAUUCAUCUCAAAAGCCUGAAGACGGACCACCUAACGCUAUAGCAUCUACUGCAGUGGUCAGUGUACAGACCAGUCCAACCACUUCAACCUCAAGUUCAUCUCAAAAGCCUGAAGAGGGUCCAACUAAAACUAUAACAUCAACUGCUGUUGACAUCCAAACCAUUUCAAGCACUUCAACUGCGAAUUUCUCUAAAACACCUGACGAUUAUUCCACUUCUUUCAUCACAAUUCCUGUUGUUCUUCUCCUGCUGGUACUAGGAGGAGUCAUCUACUGGAGAUACAGAGGACAGAGACGAGGACAGACGGAGAGCCGAGAGCAAAGAAGGAUGAAGAGAAAACAGAAAACACAGGAUGAAGUGACGUACUCUACUAUCGUCCACAGUAACACAACUAGAACAACCACAGUCACCCUCAUUGGAGAAAAGACAGAAUACGCCACCAUCAGAGUAAACUAGUAACACCACUCACACACCAGUAUUGUGUUUUUAAUGCUUUUUUUAUUUUCUUUUUUU